rnacentral:rRNA from 1 species
AACGAACGCUGGCGGCAUGCCUAACACAUGCAAGUCGAACGAAGCCUUCGGGCUUAGUGGCGCACGGGUGCGUAACGCGUGGGAAUCUGCCCUUGGGUUCGGAAUAACAGUUAGAAAUGACUGCUAAUAUCGAAUGAUGUCUUCGGACAAAGAUUUAUCCGCCCAAAGGAUGAGCCCGCGUCGGAUUAGCUAGUUGGUGAGGUAAAGGCUCACCAAGGCGACGAUCCGUAGCUGGUCUGAGAGGAUGAUCAGCCACACUGGGACUGAGACACGGCCCAGACUCCUACGGGAGGCAGCAGUGGGGAAUAUUGGACAAUGGGACGAAAGCCUGAUCCAGCAAUGCCGCGUGAGUGAUGAAGGCC